GACGAACGCUGGCGGCGUACCUAAUACAUGCAAGUCGAGCGGACCAAAGGGAGCUUGCUCCUGGAGGUUAGCGGCGAACGGGUGAGUAACACGUGGGCAACCUGCCUGUAAGACUGGGAUAACAUCGAGAAAUCGGUGCUAAUACCGGAUAAUAAAAAGAACUGCAUGGUUCUUUUUUGAAAGAUGGUUUCGGCUAUCACUUACAGAUGGGCCCGCGGCGCAUUAGCUAGUUGGUGAGGUAACGGCUCACCAAGGCAACGAUGCGUAGCCGACCUGAGAGGGUGAUCGGCCACACUGGGACUGGGACACGGCCCAGACUCCUACGGGAGGCAGCAGUAGGGAAUCUUCCGCAAUGGACGAAAGUCUGACGGAGCAACGCCGCGUGAGUGAUGAAGGUUUUCGGAUCGUAAAACUCUGUUGUUAGGGAAGAACAAGUGCCGUUCGAAAGGGCGGCACCUUGACGGUACCUAACGAGAAAGCCACGGCUAACUACGUGCCAGCAGCCGCGGUAAUGU
rnacentral:rRNA from 1 species